rnacentral:rRNA from 1 species
UACGGAGGGUGCAAGCGUUAUCCGGAUUCACUGGGUUUAAAGGGUGCGUAGGUGGGCAGGUAAGUCAGUGGUGAAAUCUCCGAGCUUAACUCGGAAACUGCCUUUGAUACUCUCUGUCUUGAAUAUGGUGGAGGUAAGCGGAAUAUGUCAUGUAGCGGUGAAAUGCUUAGAGAUGACAUAGAACACCUAUUGCGAAGGCAGCUUACUACGCAGAUAUUGACGCUCAUGCACGAAAGCGUGGGGAUCAAACAGG